rnacentral:rRNA from 1 species
UAACUACUGGAAACGGUAGCUAAUACCGCAUAACGUCGCAAGACCAAAGAGGGGGACCUUCGGGCCUCUUGCCAUCGGAUGUGCCCAGAUGGGAUUAGCUAGUAGGUGGGGUAACGGCUCACCUAGGCGACGAUCCCUAGCUGGUCUGAGAGGAUGACCAGCCACACUGGAACUGAGACACGGUCCAGACUCCUACGGGAGGCAGCAUG